AUGGCUAUUUUUUCAGAAAUGAAAGCACAAGAUAGCGAGUUCACGUACAAUGUUCAGGUAGAUGAUAAGAGUAGGAUACGGACCCUUAUGUGGACGAAUGGGCGUAGCAAAACACAGUACCAUCACUUUGGUGACGUUAUCACCUUUGACACGACAUACAAAACAAACCUGUAUGAUAUGCUUUUUGGUCUGUUCAUGGGGGUGAAUAAUCAUUUUGAGAGCGUUCUUUAUGCGGGUGUUUUGAUGCGAGACGAGACCGAGGAUACGUUCAAAUGGAUUUUUGAUGAGUUCGUGAAGAUGAUGGGUGGUAAAAAACCAAUUACAAUAUUAACAGAUCAAGCUAGAGCCAUGGAAAAAGCCAUCGAGGAGGUGUAUCCCGAAUCCACGCAUCGUUGGUGCAAAUGGCACGUACCGAAGAAGGCCAAAGAAAACUUGGGUGCUCAUUACACCAAGAAGUCAGAUUUCGGGGCAGAAUUCCACAAGCUUGUUCAUGAGAUGCUGACUAUUGAUGAAUUCGAGGACGGCUGGGCAACACUUCUUGACAAAUAUUCACUGAAAACGAAUCCAUAUCUCACGCAGAUAUACGAGACUAGGGAGAAGUGGGCAAAACCUUACUUUGCCGAGAAAUUUUGUGCUCGCCAAACCAGCACUGGCAGGAGUGAGAGUGCAAACCAUAUGUUGAAGCAGUAUGUCCCCCCGUCAUGCUCCAUGAAUCUUUUUGUCAAGCAAUACAACAAGCUCCAGUUCGAUCGAGAACAGGAGGAAGGUUUCCAGGAGAAACGUACGAGAUUGAAUCGUGCUGUGCUGAAGGUGAAUACCGCUCUUGAAGUCCACGCGAGCAAGAUAUAUACCAGGAAGAUGUUUGAGAUUUUUGGGGGCAUACUGUAUGAAUCUAGAAGGUAUGAUGUCGAAGAAAUCAUAGAGAAGCAAAAGUACAUAGUGACACACCGGAAAGCUGAGCACCGUGAGAAGUGGUUCAUGUGCCGUUUUGAGUUUAACGUGUCGGAUAACCUUGGUUAUUUUUCGAGCAUCUGCGGCCUGUUUGAGCACAUGGGCAUGGUUUGUUGUCACUCGUUGCAGGUGAUGGUUUUGCUGCGUCUGAAGCAGAUACCUCCGAGGCACAUAUUGAAAAGGUGGAGCAUACACGGUAGAGACAACCUACCGGGGCAUCUGAAGCACUAUCAACAAGACAUGGGUCAGCCGGAUGCGCCUACUUCCAGGCAUUCUGCUCUGUACAUCACUGCCCUGGAGGUUGGAAAUAUGGGUGACAGGAACCCGGCUGCUUUUGAGUUUAUGAUGUCGGGCCUGGUUGAACUUAGAACAAGAGGCGCUGAGGUAUGCGCGUUCAACGACGGACUGGGCGUCGUUGAGCAGCAGGUAUCCAACAAUGUAGUUGCUGGAGGUCCGAGGUCAAAGUAUGUCGACGGCAAGACAACUUGCUCAGUAAGAAGUGUGGAAGGCAAUCGCACCAAUUCACGUGAUGCCACGUUGGUGCCUGUGCAUCCUCCAAUGAAUCAGGCCUCAGAUUUCCCCGAAGCCGCGUCACGUCUAAUGCACAAUGAUGAACAAGAAUUGCUUGCACCAGAAAGAAACAACAAACGUGGCCGACCAACCACUAGCCGUGACAAAGCUCCUUAUGAGAAGGACAUCGCGAAAAGGUCUAGGUUCUAUUCCAUCUACAGGGGCAAAGGGCACAAAGCCAGUACUUGCCCUGAUCGAGGUGACAUGCCAAAAAGGAAAGGAAGGUGGCCACAAGCGGCAAAUGCGGGGUUCCAGGCCACCGAAGGACGACUUGCAGCAAGCCACUCGUGUCGAUGA
rnacentral:rRNA from 1 species